rnacentral:lncRNA from 1 species
GUCUCUCCCCGCAGGAACCCCACCCCUUCCCACCUCCUCGCCCUACUCUGCUCUUUCCCGAGCCGUCAGUCUCUCCAUUCCCCCUCCCGGUCUCGUCCUUCCUCCCGUCCCGCUCGCUCUCCCGCCCUUCGCUUUCAUCCUCCUAUCCCCACCUCUCCAACCUCCUCUUUCAUCCCCCUCCCCUCUCCUCUCCUCCCCGCUCCCGCCUGCCCCACCCCUGGGAAGCCCCUCCCGUCGGGCAGCGCCGCCUUAAAAGCGGGUUCCCUUCCCGGGGGCGGCAGCGGCUGGUCGGCGGCAGCUCUGCUGGUGCGGGGGCGGCGAGCAAGACCGAGCGACCGCGACCGGAGCGUGCCGGCCACCGCCCGCAUCAUCCUCCUGCCCGCCCUCCGGACGGCCGCAGCCCUGCGGGUCUCCGCUCCGGACCCACCCCCGCCCCACCCCGCGCGCCUCUGCCGCCUCUUGCUGCGAGCCAGCUUGCCGAGCGGCCGUCGCUGCCGCUGCCGCUGCCGCCGCCGCCACCGCGCCAAGUUCCGGCCGCGGCCACCUUCCGCCGUCCAGGGCUCCUCCGCCUCGGCCCCGGGACCCCGGCUCCCCGCCAGCCCCGGCCCCGGCACCAUGUCGGAGAAGAGCGUGGAGGCAGCGGCCGAGCUAAGCGCCAAGGACCUGAAGGAAAAGAAGGACAAGGUGGAGGAGAAGGCUGGCCGGAAAGAACGGAAGAAAGAAGUAGUGGAGGAGGAGGAGAAUGGAGCUGAGGAGGAGGAAGAAGAAACUGCUGAGGAUGGAGAGGAUGAUGAUGAAGGAGACGAAGAAGAUGAGGAGGAAGAGGAGGAGGAGGACGAAGGCCCCGUGCGGAAGAGAACUGCUGAAGAGGAGGAUGAAGCGGAUCCCAAGAGGCAGAAGACAGAAAACGGGGCGUCGGCUUGAGCCCCUGCCCGUGGGCUUGGGGAUGGGAGGCCCCUCAGGUCCUGGAGGUGGGGCAGGAACACACAAAUCCAGCCCCCCUUCUCCUGGCUCCCUGCUCUGGCCCUGCCCCAGAGCUGUGACCCUUGCCCUUUGACCCAGCCUCUCAUUUCCAUCUCUCCAGACACUGCUCCUUCACCCUCACUGCCACAGGUCCAGCCCCCAACCCGCCUCAUCCAAGCUCCCCAGCCGGCCCUCACUUGCCCUAGCAUUCCUUGUUCUUCCCUGCCUUCCUCACCAUCGAUCUGUUCCAGUCCUUGCGAAGCCUCUCCUUCCCCUCUGCACCCCGAGCCUCUCAGCCUGCCCUUCUCUCUCCUGCCUGACCCCUGGGUCUCCCUCAGAUUCCCUCCUCUCAGACAGCGCCAGGCCGGGGUGGGGCUGGGGUUGGGGCCAAGCCCCGAAGCUGCCCCCUCCCCUUUUUGUAUAAUUUAAUAAAGAAACGGUCGCGCUUCUGUUUUUAA